rnacentral:rRNA from 1 species
UGGUGGAGUGAUUUGUCUGGUUAAUUCCGUUAACGAACGAGACCUCGACCUACUAAAUAGUUUGCCAAACCCUUGGGUUUGCGUAAGCUUCUUAGAGGGACUAUCGGUGCGUAGCCGAUGGAAGCUCGAGGCAAUAACA